UCUUUCAUGCUCUCACUCUUCGACUUCCCCUCACUCUUCGACUCCCCCAAGUCGUCACGAGAGGGACCAAGGUCACCUUUCCCUCAAUGCUUCCAAGAGUAGAUCUAGUGCCUCGAUUUCGUCGAAAGCAGAUUAUUCCUCCAGCGUCGACAAAGACGAAAGUGAAAACCUCAGUGUUUGUUUUUUCACUCUCUUUCUGCACAACAUAAAUAAAAACCAUUCUUCCUCUUCUCCACCAUCCAAUUUCCCCCUUCUUCCUUUAGCUAAUUACGUCGUUCAAACCAGCCAUCACCUCAACGCCGCUUAAGGACCACAAAGCUCAUAUCCCAAGCUUCCAUGGCUUGAGGUCUGACUCCGCCUCUGCUCUCACCCAUAGUGCCCUCUCCCUUCCUUCAUUGUUGAAUACUAGCAAGAAUAGUGAUGUGAGGAAAAAAAUUGAUAGUGUAUGUAGUAAGAGGUAUUGCCUUCUUUGAGAGUGAAGCACAAUGAAUUUAUGUUGAGAGAACUUGUGAAGAGAUGGGCAAACCAUAAAAUUAUGGUUUGGAGGCUUUCUCGAUUCUUUCACUAUUUGGAUCGACUUUAUUGCUUGGAGGUCACUUCCGCCCCUUAAUGAAGUUGGCAUAAUUUGCUUCCAUGAUUUGGUUUACAAGGAACUAAAUGGGAAAGUUAGGGAUGCAGUUAUUUCACUUGAUUGUUUUCCUUCCUUAGUGUGCUAGAUUUCCCAUGUUUACAAAUUUAGAUCAAUUAACAAAUCCAUUUUUGUUUAUAAAGAUUGAUCAAGAACAAGAGGGAGAAUAGAUUGAUUGAGCUCUAUUAAAGAAUGUAUUAGACAUAUUUGUUGAAAUUGGAAUGGGGCAAAUGGAUCACUAUGAGAAUGAUUUUGAAGCUGCCAUGCUCAAAGACACUUCUUCUUAUUAUUCUCGAAAGGCUUCAAAUUGGAUCCUAGAAGAUUCUUGUCCUGAUUAUAUGCUGAAGGUGUGGUUUCUCAUUUAUGCUUAUUGUAACUUGAUUUCUUCAUUUACAUUACUUUUUGGCCCCUAUUUUAUCUUUAUGUCUUUUAUUACAAGUUGAGGAGUGCUUAAAAUGGGAGAAAGAUAGGGUUGCUCAUUACUUGCACUCUAGUAGGGAGCCAAAGUUAUUAGAGGUCUAUUAUUGACUUUAUGAUACUAUUUCAGCUAUUUGGUUUUCUGCCAUGCACAAUGCAAUUUUGCUUUUUUAAUGAUUAUAAUGGUUUCUUUUGUUUGAUUCAUUUUAUAGUUUCUGAACUUUUUAUCGUGUUUUCUUUUGUUCUUCUGGAAAUUUCUCAUUUAGAAAGUUCAACACGAGUUGUUAUCUGUGUAUACAAAUCAACUCCUUAAGAAAGAGCACUCUGGAUAUCAUGCUUUACUUAGAGAUGAUAAAGUACUCACGAAACUCUAUUUACUUGUUAUGCGUACAAUUUUUUUAACCAUUAGAGGUCUAUUAUUGACUUUAUGAUACUAUUUCAGCUAUUUGGUUUUCUUCCAUGCACAAUGCAAUUUUGCUUUUUUAAUGAUUAUAAUGGUUUCUUUUGUUUGAUUCAUUUUAUAGUUUCUGAACUUUUUCUCGUGUUUUCUUUUGUUCUUCUGGAAAUUUCUCAUUUAGAAAGUUCAACACGAGUUGUUAUCUGUGUAUACAAAUCAACUCCUUAAGAAAGAGCACUCUGGAUAUCAUGCCUUACUUAGAGAUGAUAAAGUACUCACGAAACUCUAUUUACUUGUUAUGCGUACAAUUUUUUUAACCAAGAGUAUGGUGUUCUCACCACAUGUGUUCCUUUAAAUGCUUAGGUUGAAGACUUGUCAAGAAUGUUCAGGCUAUUCUAAAAUACCUCGAGGCUUAGAUCCUAUUUCCAAUAUAUUUAAACAAGUUGGUCAUGUUGAACCUAUCUUAAUGGUUUUUCUCCCUUUUAUAUAUGUCAGUGUCAAUAUUGGGCUCUCAUGUUCUGCUUGCUUUCUUGCUCACUUGCUUAUCUUUCUCUCUUCCCUUUCCUCAACAUGUUACCAUUGAUGGUAUGGCUUUGGUGAAGCAUGCUGAAGAUGCAGCUAGCAACAAAAAGGCUCUUAAAGAGGCUUUGAGGUCUUUUGCAACAAAGGUGUUGCUGGAAGUUCAAGCGCAGAACUGCUUGCCUCCUUUUGUGAUAACAUUCUUAAAAAAGGAGGAAGUGAAAAAUUAAGUGAUGAAGCAAUUGAAGAAACUCUUGAAAAGGUGGUCAAGUUGCUUGCCUAUAUUAGUGGCAAAGACUUGUUUGCUAAAUUCUAUAGGUAAGAUAAAAGAGGAGGAAAAAUUGUAUGAUGAUUAUCAAGUUGGAUAUGCUUGCCGAAAAAGGAAUUUAUAUUGCUUGGCUGGUGCUUCAAUCUUUAUCUUCCACUAUGUGGAAGAAGCUUGCUCGAAGGCUUCUCUUUGACAAGAGUGCCAAUGAUGAUCAUGAGCGAAGUAUUUUGACAAAAUUGAAGCAACAAUGUGGUGGACAGUUUACCUCAAAGAUGGAAGGAAUGGUUACAGAUUUGACACUAGCAAAGGAGAAUCAAACUAGCUUUGAGGAGUAUUUAAGCAAUAAUCCCAAUGUAGACCCAAGCAUGGACUUGACAGUUACUGCCUUAUAAUGCUAAAACAAUGCAACACGUCUUGGAGAGGAGAUUGGUAGUUAGUUAUUUCUUCUCCUGAUCUAAAAUUCAUUAGUAUGUGCCUGCAGCUGGGGAGAAGAUGAUUAAAAAAAUCGUAUAAUGUGGUUUGUCCAUGCAAGAAGGCUAUAAAGGUUUGAAUGUUGUUGCUUUAUUAAUAUUGUUUGUUAAUUCUAACACUUUUUACUAGAAAUAACCCAUGAUAGUUAUGAGUUGUAAGAAGUGGAUUUUCUUCAAAAUUUUGCAAAUUAACGUAAGAAAAUUGUCUUGUU